UACGUAGGGUGCAAGCGUUAAUCGGAAUUACUGGGCGUAAAGCGUACGCAGGUGGUUUGUUAAGACAGUUGUGAAAUCCCCGGGCUUAACCUGGGAACUGCAAUUGUGACUGGCAGACUAGCGUGAGGCAGAGGGGGGCGGAAUUCCUGGUGUAGCAGUGAAAUGCGUAGAUAUCAGGAGGAACACCGAUGGCGAAGGCAGCCCCCUGGGCCAUCACUGACACUCAUGCACGAAAGCGUGGGGAGCAAACAGG
rnacentral:misc_RNA from 1 species